GUGAUUAUAGUUCAGUUGGUUAGAGCGUCAGAUUGUGGUUCUGAAUGUCGUGGGUUCGAGUCCCACUAAUCACC
rfam:Bacteroides sp. An322 An322_contig_4, whole genome shotgun sequence.